CGGAACGGGUGAGUAACGCGUGAGGAACCUGCCUCAAAGAGGGGGACAACAGUUGGAAACGACUGCUGAUACCGCAUAAGCCCACGGGUCGGCAUCGACCUGAGGGAAAAGGAGCAAUCCGCUUUGAGAUGGCCUCGCGUCCGAUUAGCUAGUUGGUGAGGUAAUGGCCCACCAAGGCGACGAUCGGUAGCCGGACUGAGAGGUUGAACGGCCACAUUGGGACUGAGACACGGCCCAG
rnacentral:rRNA from 1 species